AUUGAACGCUGGCGGCAUGCCUAACACAUGCAAGUCGAACGGGGGUAGCAAUACCCUAGUGGCGGACGGGUGAGGAAUACGUAGGAAUUUGCCCUUAAGUGGGGGAUAACCCGGGGAAACCCGGACUAAUACCGCAUGAUCUCGUGAGAGCAAAGCAGGGGACCGCAACGCCUUGCGCUUUUGGAGAAGCCUACGUCGGAUUAGCUAGUUGGUGGGGUAAUGGCCCACCAAGGCUACGAUCCGUAACUGGUCUGAGAGGAUGAUCAGUCACACCGGAACUGAGACACGGUCCGGACUCCUACGGGAGGCAGCAGUGGGGAAUAUUGGACAAUGGGCGAAAGCCUGAUCCAGCAAUGCCGCGUGUGUGAAGAAGGCCUUCGGGUUGUAAAGCACUUUAGGCUGGAAAGAAGAAGCUUUGGCUAAUAUCCAAAGCCUUGACGGUACCAGCAGAAUAAGCACCGGCUAACUCUGUGCCAGCCGCCGCUGUAAAAC
rnacentral:rRNA from 1 species